rnacentral:rRNA from 1 species
CCCAUAGAUGUUGAAAGCGGCACGCGCGUCAUACUGUCCAGUAACAGCAAGUUUUACUUCCUCUGCCGGAAGGCUAGGGGUAAUCUAUAAAACUGGACGUGGUAGGGAUAGAUCUUUGGAAUUAUAGAUCUUGAACGAAGAAUGCCUAGUAAGUGCAAGUCAUCAACUUGUGCUGAUUACGUCCCUGUCCUUUGUACACACCGCCCGUCGCUCCUACCGAUUUCGAGCGAUAUGGUGAAUCUCCUGGACCGUGGAGCUCCUCGUGGGCUUCGUGGAAAGUUUAGUAAACCUUAUCGCUUAGAGGAAGGAAAAGUCGUAACA